CAGCAGACACAUUCCAGCCAAUCAGCAGCAGACCCUCCCUCCCCCUCCCACCUCCUGGACAGCAUCCAUUUUACAUUCAUUGUGAAGCUGUAUUCUUAGUGAGCUGUCCAGGAGGUGGGAGGGUCUGGGAGGGAGGGUCUGCUGCUGAUUGGCUGGAAUGUGUCUGCUG
rnacentral:miRNA from 1 species